rnacentral:piRNA from 1 species
AACCUUAGUGUGAUUCUUCUCACUGCCAC